GGACCCGCACAAGUAGUGGAGCAUGUGGUUUAAUUCGAAGAUACGCGCAGAACCUUACCAACACUUGACAUGUUCGUCGCGACUCUAAGAGAUUAGAGUUUUCGGUUCGGCCGGACGAAACACAGGUGCUGCAUGGCUGUCGUCAGCUCGUGUCGUGAGAUGUUGGGUUAAGUCCCGCAACGAGCGCAACCCUCACUUUUAGUUGCCAUCAUUUAGUUGGGCACUCUGAAAGAACUGCCAGUGAUAAGCUGGAGGAAGGUGGGGAUGACGUCAAGUCCUCAUGGCCCUUACGUGUUGGGCUACACACGUGCUACAAUGGCUAGGACGGACGGCCCAAACCCCCGCGAGGGGGAG
rnacentral:rRNA from 1 species